rnacentral:tmRNA from 1 species
UCACUUCCCAUUCAUCAAUCCAUCGCUAUAUACAUCCCUGCCGGUUCGUCCGGCUAUGACGAUAAACUGCGGCGUGCAAUAGGCACAGCGGACCCGGGGGCGGUACCCGGCGGCU